UACGGGGGGGAGCAAGCGUUGUUCGGAUUUACUGGGCGUAAAGGGCGCGUAGGCGGCGCAACAAGUCACUUGUGAAAUCUCCGGGCUUAACCCGGAGCGGCCAAGUGAUACUGUCGUGCUAGAGUGCGGAAGAGGCGAGUGGAAUUCCUGGUGUAGCGGUGAAAUGCGCAGAUAUCAGGAGGAACACCAAUUGCGAAGGCAGCUCGCUGGGACGUAACUGACGCUGAGACGCGAAAGCGUGGGGAGCAAACAGG
rnacentral:rRNA from 1 species